AUCAUUACAUGGCGUUAAACUCAAUAAAUUAUAGCAAACAAGCAAUACGCAUUCUUUAGAACGCAGUGUCUUAUCAGAAUGCGCUUGAAUUCGAGUUAAUUGCUCAGAGAUAAGAAACUUUAUCAUCGGCCGGGAUUUAUAAUUACAGCUCAUAAUGUUAGUAUGCUAGAAAUUCCCGAGAUUUGCCUCUAAACCGCUGAAUACAGUACACAGUACACGUUUCAAUUGCGUAUUCAAAUAUGUGGCCAUUUACAAAAAAAGAGGUGUUAAUUGUUGGUAAAGAAGAGCCCGAUCCGGAUUGGGAAGGUAUUGCCGGCUUACAAUACAUACCGACAUCGGAAUUUAACGUUAAAUAUGUGCCUCCGUCUAAUUUUCACCAUCAUGAUGAACCCUCUUCGCAGCCUACUUUUGAAAAAGUCGAAUUAAGAACAGAAACGAAUAAAACACAAACACCGAAAGUAAAGGCACCUGAACCACAACAAAACCGUAAACAUAUUUUGAAUCAUGAGCCCGUGAAUGUGUUUAACGUUGACCUGGAGACCGAAAAUAGUAACCUAGACUAUAGUGAUGAAGAAAAUGAUCACGCUCACGAGAAUAUUGAAGAUUUUAGCUUCGUCAAGCAUGAAGAACCCACCGGACGCACUGUCAGGUAUUCUCAAAGCGCUCACAUGGCUAACGCACUAUAUUGAAGGAAAUAAAAUAUUCGCAACCAAAAAUCAUUACCUGUGUAACUUUGCUAGAGGAAACUGCAGACACAACUUCUGGUAGAACUCAUAAAACUCCUUGUAUGUACGGUACAUCUUCAUCGAAUCAGUUUGUCCUUCACGGAACACGCUCAAAAUGUACACGUAAUAUUUAUCCGGGUCGUAGCACUUUUUGUAAUUCUCUACUUGAACUUCAACGAUCCUUCCAUCUGUUACCAUGCUAUAUAUUAAAGAAUGAAUGUAUUUGUUAUCAAUUGGACUUAUUUAUAAAUAAAUAUGAAUAAUACCUGUA